rnacentral:rRNA from 1 species
GUAGGGAAUUUUGCGCAAUGGACGAAAGUCUGACGCAGCAACUCCGCGUGAGGGAUGAAGGUCUUCGGAUUGUAAACCUCUGUUGGGUGGGAAGAAAACUUUCACUAGUAACAAUAGUGGAACUUGACGGUACCACCUGAGGAAGCUCCGGCUAACUACGUGCCAGCAGCCGCGGUAAUACGUAGGGAGCUAGCGUUGUUCGGAAUCACUGGGCGUAAAGAGAACGUAGGCGGAAGAGUGUGUUAGGAGUGAAAUGUAUCGGCUUAACCGGUAACGUGCUUUUAAUACUACUUUUCUUGAGUAUAGGAGAGGAAGAUGGAAUUCCAGGUGUAGCGGUGGAAUGCGUAGAUAUCUGGAAGAACACCAGUAGCGAAGGCGGUUUUCUGGCCUAAUACUGACGCUGAGGUUCGAAAGCUAGGGGAGCAAACAGGAUUAGAUACCCUUGUAGUCC